UGGAGGAAAGUAGGGGAUCGUAAGACCUUGCGCUUUUGGAGCGGCCGAUGUCUGAUUAGCUAGUUGGUGGGGUAAUGGCCUACCAAAGCUUCGAUCAGUAGCUGGUCUGAGAGGACGGCCAGCCACACUGGGACUGAGACACGGCCCAGACUCCUACGGGAGGCAGCAGUGGGGAAUUUUGGACAAUGGGCGCAAGCCUGAUCCAGCCAUGCCGCGUGAGUGAAGAAGGCCUUCGGGUUGUAAAGCUCUUUCAGCCGGGAAGAAAAGGCUGCGACUAAUAAUCGCAGUUCAUGACGGUACCGGAAGAAGAAGCACCGGCUAACUACGUACCAGCAGCCGCGGUAAUACGUAGGGUGCGAGCGUUAAUCGGAAUUACUGGGCGUAAAGGGUGCGCAGGCGGUUUUGUAAGUCAGAUGUGA
rnacentral:rRNA from 1 species